rnacentral:rRNA from 1 species
AACGAACGCUGGCGGCGUGCCUAACACAUGCAAGUCGAACGGGGAUGGGGAGCUUGCUUCCUAUUCUAGUGGCGCACGGGUGAGUAACGCGUAGAUAAUCUGCCUGAUGAUCUGGGAUAACACCUCGAAAGGGGUGCUAAUACCGGAUAAGCCCACGGGGUCUUUGGACUUUGCGGGAAAAGGGGGGGACCAUUUGGCCUUCUGUCAUCAGAUGAGUCUGCGUACCAUUAGCUAGUUGGUAGGGGAAAGGCCUACCAAGGCUACGAUGGUUAGCUGGUCUGAGAGGAUGAUGAGCCACACUGGAACUGAGACACGGUCCAGACUCCUACGGGAGGCAGCAGUGGGGAAUUUUGCGCAAUGGGCGAAAGCCUGACGCAGCAACGCCGCGUGAGUGAUGAAGGCUUUCGGGUCGUAAAGCUCUGUCGAGGGGAAAGAAGUGUACUUUGGUUAAUACCCAUUGUACUUGACGGUACCCCUAAAGGAAGCACCGGCUAACUCCGUGCCAGCAGCCGCCGUAAUAC